rnacentral:rRNA from 1 species
UACGUAGGGCGCAAGCGUUGUCCGGAAUUAUUGGGCGUAAAGAGCUCGUAGGCGGCCUGUUGCGUCCGCUGUGAAAUCCCGGGGCUCAACCCCGGGCCUGCAGUGGAUACGGGCUGGCUGGAGGCAGGCAGGGGAGAACGGAAUUCCUGGUGUAGCGGUGAAAUGCGCAGAUAUCAGGAGGAACACCGGUGGCGAAGGCAGUGUCCUGGGGAGUACCUGACGCUCAGGUGCGAAAGCCAGGGGAGCGAACGGG